GCUUAACACAUGCAAGUCGAGGGGCAGCAUGGUCUUAUCUUGCUAAGGCCGAUGGCGACCGGCGCACGGGUGAGUAACGCGUAUCCAACCUGCCUUACACUCUUGGACAGCCUUCUGAAAGGGAGAUUAAUACAAGAUGUUAUCAUGAGUAAGCAUUUUCGCAUGAUUAAAGGUUUACCGGUGUAAGAUGGGGAUGCGUUCCAUUAGAUAGUAGGCGGGGUAACGGCCCACCUAGUCUUCGAUGGAUAGGGGUUCUGAGAGGAAGGUCCCCCACAUUGGAACUGAGACACGGUCCAAACUCCUACGGGAGGCAGCAGUGAGGAAUAUUGGUCAAUGGACGAGAGUCUGAACCAGCCAAGUAGCGUGAAGGAUGAAGGUUCUAUGGAUUGUAAACUUCUUUUAUACGGGAAUAAACGGAUCCACGUGUGGAUUUUUGCAUGUACCGUAUGAAUAAGGAUCGGCUAACUCCGUGCCAGCAGCCGCGGUAAUACGGAGGAUCCGAGCGUUAUCCGGAUUUAUUGGGUUUAAAGGGAGCGUAGAUGGGUUGUUAAGUCAGUUGUGAAAGUUUGCGGCUCAACCGAAAAAUUUGCAAUUGAUACUGGCAGUCUUGAGUACAGUUGAGGUAGGCGGAAUUCGUGGUGUAGCGGUGAAAUGCUUAGAUAUCACGAAGAACUCCGAUUGCGAAGGCAGCUUACUAACCUGUAACUGACAUUGAUGCUCGAAAGUGUGGGUAUCAAACAGGAUUAGAUACCCUGGUAGUCCACACGGUAAACGAUGAAUACUCGCUGUAGGCGAUAUACAGUCUGCGGCCAAGCGAAAGCAUUAAGUAUUCCACCUGGGGAGUACGCCGGCAACGGUGAAACUCAAAGGAAUUGACGGGGGCCCGCACAAGCGGAGGAACAUGUGGUUUAAUUCGAUGAUACGCGAGGAACCUUACCCGGGCUUAAAUUGCAACCGAAUAUGGCGGAAACGCUAUAGCUAGCAAUAGCGGUUGUGAAGGUGCUGCAUGGUUGUCGUCAGCUCGUGCCGUGAGGUGUCGGCUUAAGUGCUAUAACGAGCGCAACCCUUGCCGAUAGUUACUAACAGGUCAUGCUGAGGACUCUGUCGGGACUGCCAUCGUAAGAUGUGAGGAAGGUGGGGAUGACGUCAAAUCAGCACGGCCCUUACGUCCGGGGCUACACACGUGUUACAAUGGGGGGUACAGAGGGCUGCUACCACGCAAGUGGAUGCCAAUCCCAAAAACCUCUCUCAGUUCGGAUUGAAGUCUGCAACCCGACUUCAUGAAGCUGGAUUCGCUAGUAAUCGCGCAUCAGCCACGGCGCGGUGAAUACGUUCCCGGGCCUUGUACACACCGCCCGUCAAGCCAUGGGAGCCGGGGUACCUGAAGUGCGUAACCGCAAGGAGCGCCCUAGGGUAAAACUGGUGACUGG
rnacentral:rRNA from 1 species